UACGUAGGGUGCGAGCGUUAAUCGGAAUUACUGGGCGUAAAGCGUGCGCAGGCGGUUCUGAAAGUCAGCUGUGAAAGCCCCGGGCUUAACCUGGGAAUUGCGCUUGAUACUGUUGCGCUAGAGAUCGGGAGAGGAUGGCGGAAUUCCCAGUGUAGAGGUGAAAUUCGUAGAUAUUGGGAGGAACACCGGUGGCGAAGGCGGCGACCUGGGUCGAGACUGACGCUGAGGCGCGAAAGCGUGGGGAGCAAACAGG
rnacentral:rRNA from 1 species